CACGAGCGCCUCCCCGCCUUCGCUCGAUUUCGAUCGUGCU
rnacentral:misc_RNA from 1 species